rnacentral:miRNA from 1 species
CAAAAACCAUAGUUACUUUUGC